rnacentral:misc_RNA from 1 species
GAUGAAGAACGUAGCGAAAUGCGAUAAGUAGUGUGAAUUGCAGAAUUCAGUGAAUCAUCGAAUCUUUGAACGCACAUUGCGCCCUUUGAUAUUCCUUAGGGCAUGCCUGUUCGAGCGUCAUUUAAACCUUCAAGCUAAGCUUGGUGUUGGGUGACUGUCCGCUUCACGGCGGACUCGCCUCAAAAUUAUUGGCGGCCGGUACAUUGGCUUCGAGCGCAGCAGAAACGCGAACUCGGGCCCGUCGUAUUGGCUCCCAGAAGCUAUCUUCACAAUUUUGACCUCGGAUCAGGUAGGGAUACCCGCUGAACUUAAGCAUAUCAAUAAGCGGAGGA